rnacentral:rRNA from 1 species
AAUCAACGCUGGCGGCGUGCCUAACACAUGCAAGUCGAACGAGAAAGUGGAGCAAUCCAUGAGUAAAGUGGCGACCGGGUGAGUAACACGUGACUAACCUACCUUCGAGUGGGGGAUAACCUCGGGAAGCCGAGGCUAAUACCGCAUAACAUCGCAAGAUCAAAGCAGCAAUGCGCUUGAAGAGGGGGUCGCGGCUGAUUAGCCAGUUGGCGGGGUAACGGCCCACCAAAGCGAAGAUCGGUAGCCGGCCUGAGAGGGCGCACGGCCACACUGGAACUGAAACACGGUCCAGACUCCUACGGGAGGCAGCAGUGGGGAAUUUUGCGCAAUGGGGGAAACCCUGACGCAGCAACGCCGCGUGGAGGAUGAAGCCCCUUGGGGCGUAAACUCCUUUCGACCAAGACGAUAAUGACGGUACUGGUGGAAGAAGCACCGGCUAACUCUGUGCCAGCAGCCGCGGUAAUACAGAGGGUGCGAGCGUUGUUCGGAAUUAUUGGGCGUAAAGGGCGCGUAGGCGGUGCCACAAGUCACCUGUGAAAUCUCUGGGCUUAACUCAGAGCCUGCAGGCGAAACUGUGG